rnacentral:tRNA from 1 species
GCUGCUGUAGCUCAGUUGGUAGAGCGCAUCCUUGGUAAGGAUGAGGUCAUGGGUCCAAAUCCCAUCAGCAGCU